GAUGAACGCUAGCGGAAGGCAUAAUACAUGCAAGUCGAACGGAUGUAGCAAUACAUUAGUGGCGCACGGGUGCGUAACGCGUAUGCAACCUACCUUCAUCAGGGGGAUAACUACCCGAAAGGGUGGCUAACACCGCAUAAUACUAUUGAGUGGCAUCACUUGAAAUUUAAAUCUGAGGAGGAUGAAGAUGGGCAUGCGUCUGAUUAGCUAGUUGGUGUGGUAACGGCGCACCAAGGCGACGAUCAGUAGGGGAACUGAGAGGUUGGUCCCCCACACUGGCACUGGGAUACGGGCCAGACUCCUACGGGAGGCAGCAGUAGGGAAUAUUGGUCAAUGGUGGGAACACUGAACCAGCCAUUCCGCGUGCAGGAAGAAGGGUCUCUGACUUGUAAACUGCUUUAGCAAGGGAAGAAAAAGCUCAUGCGUGAGAAAUUGACGGUACCUUGAGAAUAAGCACCGGCUAACUACGUGCCAGCCGCCGCAGUAACAC
rnacentral:rRNA from 1 species